UGUACAGGUGUUUUUGGAGACCCCUCUGGCAAGAAUGCAGUAUUUAUUUUAUAGAUUUGAACACGAUAUCCCAGAAACCCCAGCUCUCAUUGGUAGUCGCCGCUGGGAUUACGUAGCAUCAACAUCCGCUCUGAGACUUUGUGGCUUUGUUAUCUAGUGGAAACCCAGUGUAGCCAAUUUUGACUUUGUGGCUGUGGUAACUAGUGACAACCCAACAGAGUCGGUGAGACUGUGGAUGCAGAUUCGAUAACAGUUAUGGACAAGAUUGAAGAUAACACGAUUUCAUUUGAGCAUCAGUCUUCAGAACAGGAUUCCAAUUUUGAAGAGCCACAGACCGUCCAGUGGCACAGGCAUGGCUGCAGAAAUAAUUGGACAGGAAGACCUUGAAAGGGCUGCCCGACGGCAAGAAGAGAGGCUGGCCGAGAUGGCUCAAUUGCAAGAGCUGUCCUUUGAAGAAAGGGGAGAGGUGUUGGAGCUGUCCGCUACAUGGAGUGAUUUUUGACAUCAUGGAGUUCCGGAGAGCUAUCCCAGGGUCUCCGGACAACCUCGCUGGCACACCUGCAUGAAUUGCAGGGAGACUCCUGCACCUUACAACACACAACUGCUGCCAUUUCACCACUUCAAUAUUCCAUGUAUUUAUUAGUAUGUUUACAUAACAGGUUAACACUUUCCAAGACUACACUGUACUUUAUACUCCAUUUGGUGAUGUCUUUGUAAGUCUUUUUGUGUGAAUUUUUUCUUGGUCUGGGUGGUAUCAGUUCAGUACUUUAUCAGAACGUUUCCCUUACACUGUGCUUUUGUUAUUUUGAGGAAGGUUACAGAGAUUACCUUAUUCUUGUUUAUCUCCCUAAUAAAACUAUUUGACCUCAUCUGUGUAAUUGGACCGACUUGUUUUGUACUGUAUUUACACCAGAGUAGUCCAUCUAUCUUUCUGGAUAUCUACCCACCUGUAGGUCUG